rnacentral:piRNA from 1 species
CUGGAAGCUCAGACUGGAAGAUCAC